UACGUAGGGGGCAAGCGUUAUCCGGAUUUACUGGGUGUAAAGGGAUCGUAGACGGCUGUGCAAGUCUGAAGUGAAAGGCAAGGGCUCAACCUUUGGACCGCUUUGGAAACUGUGCAGCUAGAGUGUCGGAGAGGCAAGUGGAAUUCCUAGUGUAGCGGUGAAAUGCGUAGAGAUUGGGAAGAACACCAGUGGCGAAGGCGAUUCUCUGGACUGUAACUGACGCUGAGGCUCGAAAGCGUGGGGAGCAAACAGG
rnacentral:rRNA from 1 species